GACUUUUGGGAUAGCAUUCUAAAUGUAAUUGAGGAAAAUACGUAAUAAUAAAAAAUAUUUUAAAAAAAAGAAUUCUGUGUUUCUGAACAAAAUCUAUCUAUGUCCCUAAGUGUCAGUGGGGAAUGAGGAACAUCAGUGAUUUCAUUUCCGGUGCUCUAAGACGGAUGUGAGGACAGAAAAGGCUCCCUUGUUUAUCUCUCUAUUUCUCUUCUGGCGUCUACUUGGGCAUGGCAGUGUUUAGACUUCACAUUGCAACAAUAUAUGAAUAUAUAGAAUAGAUUGCUGAAAUUUUAUUUUCUGAGUGAGGUUAUGAAGAAGCUCUUAGCCUAUGUUAUAGGUAAAUUGCUUAUUUAAUGUUCUAUUAAUUUUAGGUUUAAAGUUCAGUAAUUGGAUACAUUUUUAGUUUUUCACUGUCAAAAAAUAGCUCUUUGUUUUAGUAUUUGCCUUUUAGAUUUUCAAGCACUCAUGAAUUCUUUUCAUUUUUCUUUACUAGGCAGAGACUAUAAACUAAAAUAAUAAUUAAAAAGCAGCAAUGAUAAGACUCUUACCUUGGCAGUUGUUUAUAAACCAUCCUUAUCAGGAAGGAGCUGUUAUUUUAUAUGCCAAAAGAAAGUUCCUAUAUUUUAAUGAAAAAUAUCACAUACCAAAUAGAAUAAAAACUUAUACUGUGGGGAUUUUUGUGCAUCUUGUUUUUUAAAAUCACCUUGUACUUAUGAGUGGAAAUCAUUUUUCUGCUUAUAAAUUAAAAACCACUUCCCUCCCUCCUCCCUCCCUGUAAACUAAGCUCCAAGCCUUUGCCAUUUCAGUGGGAUCUUUCCUGGUACUGAUCAGUGCUCUAUAUUGGAAAGCCGCUGAGAUGACAACUGUCUUGGUGUACAUAUUUUUUUUCUUUUUCUAAAGAUAAAAGUCAUUCCAGUAAGGUAGUUCACUAGUUAAAAGUAUUCCAAAAAGGUUGGGAAUCACAAUGAAAACAGACACAGUUUCCUACAAGGGGACAAGAGUUGAGUAGAAGCCUUCCUACUCCAGUCCUCCCGGGAUCUCGGGGGCUUGGAUUGGAUCUGACAGUGAUGGGCUCGUCUUGACUGCUUCCUUUCUUUGUACCUUGCACUGGUCCAUGAAAAGAGCACACAUCAGACUCCUCCUGACACCAGGGAGGCUUCAUAAAUCAGCCAGUGAGCACUCUGGCAUGGACCUUUAGUCACUGCCUUCCCUCCAGACCUGACACCUGUCACCUUUUAAAGAGUGUACAUUUGCUGUCACUGUAGCUGAGUCCUGUCUCUUCUCUAUCCACUCACAUAUUUCUGUCUAGGUGGCAUUAUCAGGAUGGCUGUCCAUACAUUUCAAUUGCUACUAUUCUGGUCUUAGGUGGCCUAUAUUUACACCAUUCCAUGAUAAGCAUUGGCUUGUCAAUUAAUAACAUAAUAAAGUAUGUAAGAUGUAUAACAUUAAAAAAGCAGAGCAGGUUAAAAGAUCAUAAGCAUGUUUUUUUUUCCUAAAAAAAACCAAAUCAGAUUGAAUUUAUGCUUGUAAAUUUUGAUAGAAUGUUGGGUUUAGUGAGCUUAUGGAUUAUAGGUGUCUUAAGGGACAGUGAAUACGGGCAAAUGUCUUAGAAAUCAUGAAACUGUACCCCUUGUCCUAAGUCAGUGACCCGCUCUCCCAGUUAUUUUUAUUGCAUAUAUCCUCUUAGUGAUAGUCUAGACCCAAUAUUGCAAAAUUAUUCUGUGUCAGCAAUAGUAUUGCUAACCUUGGUUUGUACUAUGUAUACUAUAGAAAUAGCUUUGUGGAACCUUUCCACCCAUGGGAGAAGACUUAUUUAAAAGGCUUGGAAGAACUUUGAAACUCACUAAUCCACAGCAGCAUAUAUUGUCAAUGUUUUCAUGUUAAUGAUAUUAAAAUUAAAUAAUGAACUUAUAUUGGGCCUCUCUGUCCUUCCCUUAAUUAGUAUUUAUAAUUGUAUUUUGAAUUCGUUUGAAGCAAAUGAACACCACAAUGUGUUUAUAAUUGGAGGUAUUAAGUGCAAAAUACAAGCAGAGGGUCCUUAAAAGGAACAGGGGAAAAAAGUCAGUUUUCUAUUGAUUGCACUAUGGUGGGAUAAAUGUGUGGCUUCUGCCUUUAAUGGAAGUUGAUUGUUCAGGGAUGUGCCGGCGAGACUGGUCGAUGCUUGAGCUGUUGUUUACUGGGAAGGACAAUAUCAAUUUUCCAGAGGGAUGAUUGGUGGGAUGUCAAGGCUGUCACCCCUUUCUCCUCGUCACUGACAGACAACCCAGUGACAAUUACCAGAAAGGGACAUUGACUGCAUUGGCAUAUACACUAGAGGAUAUAACUGGC
rnacentral:lncRNA from 1 species